CCUACGGGUGGCAGCAGUGAGGAAUAUUGGUCAAUGGGUGAGAGCCUGAACCAGCCAAGUCGCGUGAAGGAUGACGGCCCUACGGGUUGUAAACUCUUUUUGUCGGGGAGAAAUUGAUUCCACGUGUGGUCUUAGCGAGUGUACCUGACGAAAAAGCAUCCGCUAACUCCGUGCCAGCAGGCACGGUAAUACGGAGGUUGCGAGCGUUAUCCGGAUUUAUUGGGUUGAAAGGGAGCGUAGAUGGGUUGUUAAGUCAGUUGUGAAAGUUUGCGGCUCAACCGUAGAAUUGCAGUUGAUACUGGCAGUCUUGAGUACAGUUGAGGUAGGCGGAAUUCGUGGUGUAGCGGUGAAAUGCUUAGAUAUCACGAAGAACCCCGAUUGCGAAGGCAGCUUACUGAUCUGUGACUGACAUUGAUGCUCGAAAGUGUGGGGAUCAAACAGGAUUAGAUACCCUGGUAGUC
rnacentral:rRNA from 1 species